GCGGGCAGGGAUCAUUACCGAGUUUACAACUCCCAAACCCAAUGUGAACCAUACCAAACUGUUGCCUCGGCGGGGUCACGCCCCGGGUGCGUCGCAGCCCCGGAACCAGGCGCCCGCCGGAGGGACCAACCAAACUCUUUUCUGUAGUCCCCUCGCGGACGUUAUUUCUUACAGCUCUGAGCAAAAAUUCAAAAUGAAUCAAAACUUUCAACAACGGAUCUCUUGGUUCUGGCAUCGAUGAAGAACGCAGCGAAAUGCGAUAAGUAAUGUGAAUUGCAGAAUUCAGUGAAUCAUCGAAUCUUUGAACGCACAUUGCGCCCGCCAGUAUUCUGGCGGGCAUGCCUGUCCGAGCGUCAUUUCAACCCUCGAACCCCUCCGGGGGGUCGGCGUUGGGGACCUCGGGAGCCCCUAAGACGGGAUCCCGGCCCCGAAAUACAGUGGCGGUCUCGCCGCAGCCUCUCCUGCGCAGUAGUUUGCACAACUCGCACCGGGAGCGCGGCGCGUCCACGUCCGUAAAACACCCAACUUCUGAAAUGUUGACCUCGGAUCAGGUAGGAAUACCCGCUGAACUUAAGCAUAUCAUA
rnacentral:rRNA from 1 species